CUGAAAUUCUUCAAAUAUUGAUGAAAAAUUUGCAUAAAGAUGACUACAACGUUCUGCUUUUUGCUGGCAUUCUUCAGGGCUGGAAACCUCUUUCGUGAUCCUUCGUAUUAAUUAGUCCCUGACUUCUUGAUGGCAUUGGGUGUGUGUGUGUCCCAAGCUCGGUGGAGUCUGUUUUUCUCACCCAGGAUGGUAAAUGCCAGUGAGCCUGGACUGGUGGGAUGCCCUGCAAUAUGUUGUAAACUGCUGAUGACCCCAUACGAUCUCCCAGAAUGCCAAGAACACGC